rnacentral:rRNA from 1 species
GGGCUUGCGUCCGAUUAGCUCGUAGGUGGGGUAACGGCCUACCAAGGCUGAGAUCGGUAGCUGGUCUGAGAGGAUGAUCAGCCACACUGGGACUGAGACACGGACCAGACUCCUACGGGAGGCAGCAGCAGGGAAUAUUGCGCAAUGGGCGAAAGCCUGACGCAGCAACGCCGCGUGGGGGAAGAAGGCCUUCGGGUUGUAAACCCCUUUUCUCGGGGAAGUGACGGUACCCGAGGAAUAAGCCUCGGCUAACUACGUGCCAGCAGCCGCGGUAAGACGUAGGAGGCGAGCGUUAUCCGGAUUUACUGGGCGUAAAGGGCGUGUAGGCGGCUCUUUAAGUCUGUGGUGAAAUCUCCCGGCUCAACCGGGAGGGUGUCAUAGAAACUGGGGAGCUUGAGGCCAGCAGAGGGAGGUGGAAUUCCCGGUGUAGUGGUGAUAUGCGUAGAU